AUAGGCUCUCCUAUAAUCCAGGUAUAAAUCCUCUAAAGCUCCGUGUCUGCUGGAACAUGGUCCAAGAAUGAAAUCCUGUGAGAAUUCUGGGUGCUUAGGAGAAAACUCUAAGACAAGACCAGAAUCUCAUGACCUUAUAGGGGAAUUUUAAUCCAACACCAUGGGUGCUCUGACAAGGGAUCACAUCCAAAGAUCUUCUAAGCCCACAGGAACUGGGCAGAAUACAGAAAAACCCUGGAAUACAGUAUGGUCUGGCUGGAAUACAGACACACCCUUAGUACACACCUCUAAUCCCUAACAUGAAGAUAAGGCAAGUUUGUAGAAGGAAGCAGCCUUGUUUGAAAGUGAUGUCUAAUUAAGGGACAAUGUGACGAACCAGAGAAAGAUUUGACAGAAUGAGUCAGAGAUAGGAUACAUCCAACUCACAGAACAGCAGAGGAAAGAGGCUACGAGAGAGAGAGAGACAGAGACACAGAGACUGAGACAGGGAGACAGGUGUGUGUGGAGAUUUUACCAGGAUGGUUUUACAGAAACAGGUUAGACACAAGUGAUGACAGAAGGAGCCAGAGAAUGAGAAGGAGCCAGAAGAUUAGAACAUGUUGCCAAAGUGAAGUAUAAAGCCAAGCAGAGCAAUUCAGUCAGAAACCAAGAGAAGACUGAAUCAGUCAGCUUGGAAGAUUAGAUUGUACGCAGAGGCUUGAAGCUUCCUAGCCUAGGCCUAGGGAUAGAACAGGCAAACACUCUGGGCUCAGCCCAAGCCCUGUAUUCACACAGCUUGGCUACAGCUCUCAUGUCAUCCCUUCAUCUGAAGAAAUGAGUGACAUUUACAUGACCUCAGCUUCCUCAAAACCCCUGAACUGGAAUGUGCUUAUGUGUGCCUCCCAGGUGUAGUGCAUUGAGUGAAUUUACUUCAGAUUAUUCAUUGCAACUGGCUGUUGGUAUUUAUUUAAAAGCCUCUAUGGGAAAAACACAUGUUCUUGCAUGGUGCUUGCCCUUGUGAUUGACUGUACACUUUGCUCAUGUGCCUCUUAAUCUUCAUAGUAUGAUGUCUGAAGACCGGAAUAAAGUUGUCUAU
rnacentral:lncRNA from 1 species